rnacentral:piRNA from 1 species
UGACGUGGAAUAGGCAUGAGACGAGU